rnacentral:misc_RNA from 1 species
GAUGAAGAACGUAGCGAAAUGCGAAAAGUAGUGUGAAUUGCAGAAUUCAGUGAAUCAUCGAAUCUUUGAACGCACAUUGCGCCCGCCAGUAUUCUGGCGGGCAUGCCUGUUCGAGCGUCAUUUCAACCCUCAGGCCCCCAGUGCCUGGCGUUGGGGAUCGGCGCGGCGCCCUCCGGGGCGCUGCCGGCCCCGAAAUUCAGUGGCGGUCUCGCUGUAGCCCUCCUCCGCGUAGUAGCACGACCUCGCGGCCUGGAGCUCGGCGGUGGCCAUGCCGUAAAACACCCCACUUCUGAAAGUUGACCUCGGAUCAGGUAGGAAUACCCGCUGAACUUAAGCAUAUCAAUAAGCGGAGGA